GAGUUUGAUCAUGGCUCAGGACGAACGCUGGCGGCAUGCCUAAUACAUGCAAGUCGAACGCACGAAGUUGAAAAGCUUGCUUUUCGACCAAGUGAGUGGCGGACGGGUGAGUAACACGUGGGUAACCUGCCCAUAAGAGGGGGAUAACAUUCGGAAACGGAUGCUAAUACCGCAUAUUUCAAGUGACCGCAUGGUCGCUUGAUGAAAGGUGGCUUCGGCUACCACUUAUGGAUGGACCCGCGGUGCAUUAGUUAGUUGGUGAGGUAAUGGCUCACCAAGACCAUGAUGCAUAGCCGACCUGAGAGGGUGAUCGGCCACACUGGGACUGAGACACGGCCCAGACUCCUACGGGAGGCAGCAGUAGGGAAUCUUCCGCAAUGGACGAAAGUCUGACGGAGCAAUGCCGCGUGAGUGAAGAAGGUUUUCGGAUCGUAAAACUCUGUUGUUAGAGAAGAACAAGGAUGAGAGUAACUGCUCAUCCCCUGACGGUAUCUAACCAG
rnacentral:rRNA from 1 species